rnacentral:rRNA from 1 species
GACGAACGCUGGCGGCGUGCCUAAUACAUGCAAGUCGAGCGAAGUUUUUCUGGUGCUUGCACUAGAAAAACUUAGCGGCGAACGGGUGAGUAACACGUAAAGAACCUGCCUCAUAGACUGGGACAACUAUUGGAAACGAUAGCUAAUACCGGAUAACAGUAUUUCUCGCAUGAGAGAUAUUUAAAAGUUGGUUAUGCUAACACUAUGAGAUGGCUUUGCGGUGCAUUAGCUAGUUGGUGGGGUAAAGGCCCACCAAGGCGACGAUGCAUAGCCGACCUGAGAGGGUGAUCGGCCACACUGGGACUGAGACACGGCCCAGCCUCCUACGGGAGGCAGCAGUAGGGAAUCUUCCGCAAAGGGCGAAAGCCUGACGGAGCAACGCCGCGUGAGUGAAGAAGGAUUUCGGUUCGUAAAGCUCUGUUGUUAGGGAAGAAUGGAUAUGUAGUAACUAUACAUGUAAGAGACGGUACCUAACCAGAAAGCCACGGCUAACUACGUG